rnacentral:rRNA from 1 species
GACGAACGCUGGCGGCGUGCUUAACACAUGCAAGUCGUACGGUAAGGCCCUUUCGGGGGUACACGAGUGGCGAACGGGUGAGUAACACGUGAGUAACCUGCCCACAACUUUGGGAUAACGCUAGGAAACUGGUGCUAAUACUGGAUAUGUGCUCCUGCUGCAUGGUGGGGGUUGGAAAGCUCCGGCGGUUGUGGAUGGACUCGCGGCCUAUCAGCUUGUUGGUGGGGUAGUGGCCUACCAAGGCGGCGACGGGUAGCCGGCCUGAGAGGGUGACCGGCCACAUUGCGACUGAGAUACGGCCCAGACUCCUACGGGAGGCAGCAGUGGGGAAUAUUGCACAAUGGGCGCAAGCCUGAUGCAGCAACGCCGCGUGCGGGAUGACGGCCUUCGGGUUGUAAACCGCUUUCAGCAGGGACGAAGCUUUUUGUGACGGUACCUGCAGAAGAAGCACCGGCUAACUACGUG